UUGGAGGGCAAGUCUGGUGCCAGCAGCCGCGGUAAUUCCAGCUCCAAUAGCGUAUAUUAAAGUUGUUGCAGUUAAAAAGCUCGUAGUUGAAUUUCGGGGUUAGUAGGUUGGUCAUGCCUCUGGUAUGUACUGGUCUCACUGAUUCCUCCUUCCUGAUGAACCUUAAUGCCAUUUAUUUGGUGUUUUGGGGAAUUUGGACUGUUACUUUGAAAAAAUUAGAGUGUUUAAAGCAAGCUAACGCUUGAAUACAUUAGCAUGGAAUAAUGAGAUAGGACGUUCGAUCCUAUUUUGUUGGUUUCUAGGAUUGACGUAAUGAUUAAUAGGGAUAGUUGGGGGCAUUAGUAUUCAAUUGUCAGAGGUGAAAUUCUUGGAUUUAUUGAAGACUAACUACUGCGAAAGCAUUUGCCAAGGAUGUUUUCAUUAAUCAAGAACGAAAGUUAGGGGAUCGAAGACGAUCAGAUACCGUCGUAGUCUUAACCAUAAACUAUGCCGACUAGGGAUCGGAUGAUGUUAAUUUUUUAAUGACUCAUUCGGCGCCUUACGGGAAAC
rnacentral:rRNA from 1 species